UACAGGGGGUGCAAACGUUGCUCGGAAUUAUUGGGCGUAAAGCGCGCGUAGGCGGCUACUUAAGUCGGAUGUGAAAGCCCUUGGCUCAACUGAGGAAGUGCACCCGAAACUGAGUGGCUUGAGUACUAAAGAGGGUCGCGGAAUUCCCGGUGUAGAGGUGAAAUUCGUAGAUAUCGAGAGGAACACCUGCGGCGAAGGCGGGUUGCUGGGCUGACACUGACGCUGAGGCGCGAAAGCUAGGGUAGCAAACGGG
rnacentral:rRNA from 1 species